rnacentral:snRNA from 1 species
UGAUGUGAGGGCGAUCUGGCUGUGACAUCUGUCACCCCAUUGAUCGCCAGGGUUGAUUCGGCUGAUCUGGCUGGCUAGAUGGGUGUCCCCUCCCUCCCUCACCGCUCCAUGUGCGUCCCUCCCGAAGCUGUGUGCUCAGUCGAAGAGCACGACCUUCCCUGCUAGAGGAGGACCAGUCUUCAGUCAAGGGUAUAUGAGUAGCUGCGCUCCCCUGCUAGAACCUCCAAACAAGCUCUCAAAUGGUAUUUCUUCCUGCCCAUGUCCAGUUGUCUUUCUAGCUUAUUCUGGCACUCUCUCUCCCAGUAUUUCCACUAGUACACUUUACUGGCAUCUUUUCUUAAGU